rnacentral:lncRNA from 1 species
CUCAGCCACAAGUGCUUGUCCCCAUUCUGUCCUCUGUAUUUUGCACAGCUGCAGGAAAAGAAGAAAGGAACUGAUCAAGCUGAGAAAACAAUCUUCCUUUUAGUCCUUGUUCUUCCUGAUGACAAGGGUCCACUACACCAUAUGCACACAAUGGUGCCCAGGUUUGGACUCUACAGGAAAUUUCAAUGUGCUAACAGUUGGCACUUUAUUUGUGGACACACCCUUUACUUCCAAAUGCACAGCACUUCAGCUUCAGGACUUCCUGACACCCUUCUUUGUUCUGGACAGAAGUCCCACUUCAUUGUCAAGAAACAAAUGUAUAGGGGCUGACUGUCUUCAUUAGCUGCUGUUGGUUAAGAUUUGACUCUGUCACUCAUUCAGAACAGAAGUUAUGGACACAGGAAGCAGUAUUCUAUGAAGGAAAUGUGCCCUUGAGGAGGCCUAGGUUGGAUAUUGUAGGAAGGUUUCUCAGGAAACUCACAACCUAAUUAUAGAAAGGUAAGCCAGAAUCAAAAGCACAACAAACAGGUGGAGAGGAAGGAUGAAAAAAACCACAAUGAGAGCAUAUUUGUUUUACUGCUAGACUUAUUGGAAUUCUGAAAUAAAUGACAGUUUAUGUGCUGGAGUGAGUAUAAG